rnacentral:rRNA from 1 species
GACGAACGCUGGCGGCGUGCUUAACACAUGCAAGUCGAGCGAUGAAGCACCUUCGGGUGUGGAUUAGCGGCGAACGGGUGAGGAACUCGUGAGGAACCUGCCUUUCGCUUCGGGAUAACUCCGGGAAACCGGGGCUAAUACCGGAUAUUUUCAACUGGCGGCAUCGCCGGUUGAAGAAAGUUUUUCGGUGAAAGAUGACCUCGCGGCCUAUCAGCUUGUUGGUGAGGUAAUGGCUCACCAAGGCGACGACGGGUAGCCGGCCUGAGAGGGCGACCGGCCACACUGGGACUGAGACACGGCCCAGACUCCUACGGGAGGCAGCAGUGGGGAAUAUUGGGCAAUGGAGGAAACUCUGACCCAGCGACGCCGCGUGAGGGAUGAAGGCCUUCGGGUUGUAAACCUCUUUCAGCAGGGAAUAAGCGAAAGUGAAGGUACCUGCAGAAGAAGCACCGGCUAACUAUGUGCCAGCCGCCGCCGUAA